AGCCGUGGAUAUUGACAAACCAGCUUGCUGGGGGUGAUGUGCUCUCCACCGACAUCUGAACGUCUGACAUUUGCUGCUGUUAUUGUGAUAGUUGUUCCACUUUGGCCAUGGAAUCCUUUAUGUCCAAUUGUGAAUGGGUGGGGCCUCUAUUUAACCUUGUACCUCUUUAUAUGGCUGCCCCUCACCCAGCUUGUCUGAUCUUAUGUUACUUCCCAAAUGGAGUUAGAAUGUGAUACAUCCCACACCAGGCCCUUCAGUCCACCAAGUGCCUAAUGCUACUAUUCCCAUUUUCCAGCCACUUGGUCCAUCGCUUCAUGCUUUGGCAAUUUAAAUGCUGGUUCUGAGAGAGUCUGCCUCCACCAAUGUCUCUGGCAGAGAUGUAGAUUGCACCAACGUCUGGAUGGAAAAGCACUUCCUCAAAUCCCCUCUCAACUGAACCUGUUCCCUCUGGUCUAGAUCUCCUGCUCUCUGUGGGGAGAAGCUUCUCACAACAUUGCACACCUCACGCCAAGGAAAACUAACCCAGUCUCUCCACUGCAUCCUCUCCAGUCAAAACACAUCCUUCCUAAAGCAUGGAGACUGCCAGAACUGCAGGUAAUGUGAAAGCUGUGACCUGUUGUAUGUCCCUAGACCUCCGUGCUCUUGUAUUUUAUAUGUCGACUAAUGAAGGCAAGUAUCCCGUAUGCCUUUUCAUCACCGAGUCUAUCUGUGCUGCCUCUGAAAUCUAUUGUCAUGGACACCAUGAUCUCCAUGUUCCUCAAUACUUCCUCAACCUCGACCAUUAAUGAAACAUACCUUCCCCUAAUUUGUUCACCCAAAAUGCAUCACUUGCUCCUUUCAAAGUUAACUUCAUCUGCCGUUGCUGUACUCAACUCACCCGCUGAUCAACAUGAUUGUGUGGACUUAGACUACUCUGGUCACUAUCAACAUCACCAUUAAUAGUUUCAUCAACGGCAAACUUACUAAUCAUACCCCCCACUUUAUCCUUAAUGCGUGGCAGCUAGCAAGAGUCCCAGCAUUGCCACAGACGGUUGUAGGGGUCACGUCAUUGGAUCUUUUUAUGGAGGAGAUGAACAGAUUCUUGAUUAGUACGGGUGUCAGGGGUUGUGGGGAGAAGGCAGGAGAAUGGGGUUGAGAGAAAGAGUUAGAUCAGCCAUAAUUGAAUGGCAGAGUAGACUUGAUGGGCCAAAGGGCCUUAUUCUGCUCCUAUCACUUAUGAACAUGAGUACUGAGCCCUGCGGCACACUGGUGCUGGAUGUACUCUCCAAACACAAAGGCCUUGGACUACAAGCUGUGAGACACAGCAGCACUGUUCCCUUCCUGCAUCCUCAGCCAAGACUACGCGUCUCCCAAGGCAAAGCUCUGCACUACAUGACUCAGUCCAUGUCUAGACAUAGUGAUGACAAUGGGUGCAGUGAGUGGGCCAUGGUCAGUCUGUGCUGAAAUGCUGCUGUGUAUCCUCGCUCCGGGGGCAUCAUUUUAUUGCUGCACAUUAAUUCUGAACUGUGCGCACGACUGAUUUACAGUUAAAUAGCAUCCAUCUUCCAUUACGGGACAAUUAAUUACUUUAGUACGGGGACUAUUUGUUGAAAACAAGAAGGAUGAAGGGGCAUCUCAUUGAAACUUACCGAACAGUGAAAGGCUUGGAUAGUGGAUAUGGAGAGGAUGUUUCCACUAGUGGGAGAGUCUAGGACCAGAGGUCAUAGCCUCAGUAUUAAAAGACGUUCCUUUAAGAAGGAGAUGAGGAGGAAUUUCCUGAGUCAGAGGGUGGUGAAUCUGCCCAUGCCCCCUGUCGUGCCCAUUUACACUCAUCCCCAUUGGCCGUUUAAUACCCCAGCAGAACAGAUUCAGUUAUGCAAACAUCAUGAGUUCAAGUCCAGAGAUGACCAUUUGUGGAGUGCCAUUUGUAGGAUUCCAUGUCGCUUUCUGUUGAAUGAAUGAAGGUUAAUGUAGGCCAUUCAGCCCAACACUGCAUCUCCUUUCCCCCAGUGCGUUCACACUCUGGACUAUACGUUGUUCAUUCCUACUCAGUGGGUCAGACAGCAUCGGUAGAGGGAGGUUUCAGGUCAAGACCCUUCACCUGGACUGGAAGAGUAGAGGGGAAAUAGUCACUGUAGAGGGGAGAGAGGGAGGGGCAGGCAAAAGCUGCCAGAGCUGGAUCCGGGUGAAGUAGAAUUGAUUGGUAGAAGGAGUUAAGUGGGGAAGGGAUUGGUGGCAGUAGUGACAGAGGCAGGGAGGUGAACAAAUGGCUGCAGCAGUGAGAGUCAGGUCUGUGGCACAAGGCUUGGCCAUGAGACACAGUGAGGAAGGGUGGUCAGGCAGAGCGAGAGUGAAAGGAGACAUUAGAUAAAGUAGUGAAUUUGUGCUUGGAGUCUGGGGAUGAAGGCGAGGUACUAAACGAGUACUUUGUCUCUGUAUUCACCAAGGACCUUGAGGACAGUGAGAUCAGUGUCGAGAACACUAAUAUGUAAGGACAGCGUUGCUAACCAGAUUGAGUUUGUUUGAGUAAGCGGUGGAUGUUGUCUACAUGGAUUUUAGUGAUAAAUUCCCCAUGGUAGGCUGAUCCAGAAGAUUAAGACGCACGGGAUUCGCAGUGACUUGGUUGUAUGGAUACAGAAUACAAACAUUAAUGGGGUUGUGGAUGGUGAGGAAGGUUGUCCAAUUCUACAGCAGGAUAUACAUCGGUGAAAAGUUGGGGCAGAACAUUAAUCCCAAUUCCAGGGUGAUGUUAUUUGGGAAGUCAAAUAGGGGGAGGACAUAAAUAUGAAGAAACAAUCCUUCAGUGUAGACUGGGUCUAAAUCAGCAAGGGGUAUAAAAAGGGAUUGUUGCUAGGAAGUGAAGGAAUGUUGAUGAACGGAGGGACUUUGUGGUUGAAGGCCAUAGUUCCCUGGGCGAUGUGGACAUGAUGGGUUGAAGGGCGUGUUUCCGGGCUGUAUCUCUAAACUAAACUCAGUUCGUUUGGCAUUCAUAAAUCACCCUUGAGCAUCUGAGCUUAAACAACAGGGGAAAAUGAUUUUUAAUGUUACCGCAAGGGUGGCAGUACAGCAGUGGCCCAGCAGCCAUGGUUCUUCAAAGCUCUACAGGGAUGUCCGGCAACGGCUCAGAUGCACAUCAGGGGAGGCAGAGAAGUGAGAACUAGUGACAGCUGAGGGGGUGAUAUCUGGAUGACAGGUCACGUCUCUGGUGGGAGGGUCAGGGUAUCGCUGGUUGGCAGCAGGGGGUGAAUGGCCAAAGAAGACGCUCCAAUGACAGAGGUAGAAAGGCAUCACCAGCCCAUGCAGGCAGCAGUUAUCGAGCAAGGAAAUGUGUUUUAAUGAGCAGCAACUGGUUAAAAAGACACUUGGACAGGUAUAUACAUAAGAAAGAUUUAGAGAAUGGGCAAAACUCAGAGGAAUGGAAGCAGCUUAGAUGGGGCAUCUUGGUUGGCAUGGACAUGUUAUAGGAGUAGAAUUAGGCCAUUCGGCCCAUCACGUCUACUCCGCCAUUCAAUCAUGGCCGAUCUAUCUUUCCCUCUCAAUCCCAUUCUCUUGUCUUUGCCCCAUAACCUCUGAUACCCGUACUAAUCAUGAAUCUGUCAAUCUCAGCAUUUAAAAUAAUCCAUUGAUGGCCUCCACAGCCACCUGUGGCAAUGAAUUCCACAGAUUCACCACCCUCUGACUAAAGAAAUUCCUUCUCAUCUCCUUUCUAAAGGUACAUCCUUUUAUUCUGAGGUUGUGGCCUCUGGUCCUGACUCUCCCACUAGUGGAAACAUCCUCUCCACAUCCCACUUUAUCCAGGACCAAAGGGCCAUUUCUGUGCUGCUUGACUCUAUGAUAAACUGUAAAGAUGAUAUUGCAUGGAUGGUACCAGUGCUGCUCGCCAACGUGUCUGGAUAUAGGAGGGCAGGGCAACUGAAUGAGUGGCUGUAGAUGGUGCAGGAGCUGGAUGUUGGGUUUCUGAGACUUUGUAAAUGUUUCUGGCACAGGCAAGAUCUGUACAAGUUGGAUACGUUACACCUCAACACUGGGAGCUGGGAUCAAGGUCCUCGAAGGACGGCUUUGCUCAUAUUUCUGGAGAGGGUUUCAACAAGUUGGGCAGGGAAUGGAAACCGGAACAGGGGGUCAUACAGGAGA